GGGCGUGUAGCUCAGUUGGUAGAGCAGUCGACUUAUACUCGACCGGUCCCUGGUUCGAGCCCAGGCGCGCCCA
rfam:Candidatus Adlerbacteria bacterium RIFCSPLOWO2_01_FTLL_54_21b rifcsplowo2_01_scaffold_34799, whole genome shotgun sequence.